GCUGCCUGCAAGCCAAGGAGAGAGACCUCACCUAAAACAAACCUUGCUGACACCUUGAUCUUGGACUCCCAGCCUCCAGAGCUGUACUGCUAUAACCAGAAUUUGGUAGAAAAAGGAUUUACUUGUUGGGGCCCUCUUGAUAAAAAGAGAUGUGGGGGGAUUCUCGACCUGCUAACAGAACUGGACCUUUUCGGGAACUCUAAUGAUCCAGGACAAAGAAGUUACCCUGGAGUAUGUAUCAAGCCUGGAUUUUUGGUACUGCAAACGAUGUAAGGCAAACAUUGGUGGGCACCGAUCUUCCUGUUCAUUCUGCAAGAACCCAAGAGAAGUGACAGAGGCCAAGCAAGAAUUAAUAACCUACCCUCAGCCUCAGAAAACAUCCAUACCAGCACCAUUGGAAAAACAGCCCAACCAGCCCCUAAGACCAGCUGAUAAGGAACCUGAACCCA
rnacentral:lncRNA from 1 species